rnacentral:misc_RNA from 1 species
AACCAUAGAAACCUGCGGAGUACCUGCGGAGGGAUCAUUACCGAGUUUACAACUCCCAAACCCCUGUGAACAUACCACUUGUUGCCUCGGCGGAUCAGCCCGCUCCCGGUAAAACGGGACGGCCCGCCAGAGGACCCCUAAACUCUGUUUCUAUAUGUAACUUCUGAGUAAAACCAUAAAUAAAUCAAAACUUUCAACAACGGAUCU